AUGAAUCCGGAGAUGCUGCGGGUGGCGGAGGAGCAGAUGCGGCGCAUCCCCGCCGACGACCUCGCCAGGAUGCAGCGGCAGCUCAUGUCCAACCCGGACCUGCUGAAGCUCGCAACCGAGAGCAUGAAGAACAUGACGGCCGACGACUUCAAGAGGGCCGCCGAACAGCUGAACCGCGCGAGGCCAGAGGAGAUGCUCGACAUGACCGAGAAAAUCGCCAAGGCCAAGCCCGAGGAGCUCGCCGCCAUGAAGUCCCAAGCCGACGCUCACACCUCGUACGCGAUAUCCGCCGCCAAGAUGCUGAAGCGGCAGGGGAACCAGCUCCAUGGCCGCGGGGAGUACGCCGAGGCCGCCGCCAAGUACAGACUCGCCAGGGAUAACGUGAAGAACAGCGUGCCGUCGGCAGCCGGGCGCGCUCUGCAGCUGCAGUGCAGCGUUAAUCUGAUGGCCUGCUACCUGAAGCUCAGCGAGUUUGAGGAGUGCGUCAAUGAAGGCUCGGAGGUUUUGAGCUAUGAGUAUCACUCGGGCACUGCCAAAGCGUACUACCGAAGGGGUCAGGCGUACAAGGAGCUGGGAAACCUCCAGGCUGCUGUUGCUGACCUGAGUAAAGCCCAUGAGAUGUCUCCGGACGACGAAACUGUCGCUCAAGCUCUGACAGAGGCUCAAGAAAAACUUGAAACCGGAGGGGGAGCAGCAGACCAGCCAAAGAGAGUUGUCAUUGAGGAAGUUGUAGAAGAAGAUGUUAGUUCUGAUCUGCCAAGCGCUCAAAGGAGUUCUUCUUCUACUGCUGUUUCACAGCCACAUGAUGGAGCACGAAACUCGACACAAUCUGACUCUUUAGGAAGCUUGGUAAAUACUACGUCUCAGGUUGCUUCUUCAUCAAGCGGAGCAAUCCCUGUUGCUCCAGAUUUGGGAUCCAAUGUGCCAGGAAUUUCACCUGGCAUGGUCAGUAUGGCAGACCCUGCUAUGUGGGAGAUGUUUACAUCCAUGGUGGAGAACAUGAGCCCUGAUGCGAUGUCAAACAUGAGUGAGUUGUUCGGUAUCAAGUUGUCCAUUGAGGAUGCAGCCAACGCUCAACAAGCUAUGUCUUCAUUCUCUCCACAAGAUUUACAAAAAAUGAUGAAAUGGAUCGGCAGAGCACAGCGAGGAGUCGAAACAGCAAAGAAGACGAAGGACUGGCUACUAGGCAGGAAAGGCUUCAUCUUUGCCAUUGUCAUGCUGAUCUUGGCGUUCAUCCUCCAUCGGCUUGGAUUCAUCGGGUAG
rnacentral:rRNA from 1 species